rnacentral:rRNA from 1 species
GGUUAGGUUCUAAUGGUACAUAAAAAAUUUGAGGGAAUGAUCUUGCUUGAAUAGUCGUACUCAUAACCGCAGCAGGUCUCCAAGGUUAGAAGCCUCUAGUUGGCAGAAUAAUGUAGGUAAGGGAAGUCGGCAAAAUAGAUCUGUAACUUCGGGAAAAAGAUUGGCUCUAAAAGGCUGAGUAUAUGGGCUAUAUCAGUAAGUUAUUGGAGAUUAGGUUGUUACGGUUGGCUGUCAUGGUUGAUUGUGAUGGCUUAGUUGAAGGUGAUGGAUGGGUGUAGGCAACUGUCAAAGGUUGUACUGUAUACAAUUAACAGCUAAUUUAGAACUGUUACUGACCAGGGGAAUCCGACUGUUUAAUUAAAACAAAGACAUUGUGAUGUUCUCAAUAAGGAUUUUAACACAAUGUGAUUUCUGCCCAGUGCUCUGAAUGUCAAAGUGAAGAAAUUCAAAACAAAGCGAC